AGGGUGAACGCUGGCGGCGUGCUUAAGACAUGCAAGUCGAACGGAUGCUUUCGGGCAUUAGUGGCGCACGGGUGAGUAACGCGUAACUGACCUACCUCCAAGUUCAGCAUAACGUCUCGAAAGAGACGCUAAUUCUGAAUGUGAUCCCGGAUCGUGUUCCGUGAUUAAAGAAUUUCGCUUGGAGAUGGGGUUGCGUUCCAUCAGCUAGAUGGUGGGGUAAAGCCUACCAUGGCGACGACGGA
rnacentral:rRNA from 1 species